rnacentral:rRNA from 1 species
GGCCUUGACAUACUAAGAACUUUCCAGAGAUGGAUUGGUGCCUUCGGGAACUUAGAUACAGGUGCUGCAUGGCUGUCGUCAGCUCGUGUCGUGAGAUGUUGGGUUAAGUCCGCAACGAGCGCAACCUUUUCCUUAUUUGCCAGCGGGUCAUGCCGGGAACUUUAAGGAUACUGCCAGUAACAAACUGGAGGAAGGCGGGGACGACGUCAAGUCAUCAUGGCCCUUACGGCCAGGGCUACACACGUGCUACAAUGGUCGGUACAAAGGGUUGCUACCUCGCGAGAGGAUGCUAAUCUCAAAAAGCCGAUCGUAGUCCGGAUCGCAGUCUGCAACUCGACUGCGUGAAGUCGGAAUCGCUAGUAAUCGCGGAUCAGAAUGCCGCGGUGAAUACGUUCCCGGGCCUUGUACACACCGCCCGUCACACCAUGGGAGUUUGUUGCACCAGAAGUAGGUAGUCUAACCGCAAGGAGGACGCUUACCACGGUGUGGCCGAUGACUGGGGUGAAGUCGUAACAAGGUAGGCGUAGAUGA